UGCGGCUGGAUCACCUCCUUUCAAGGAUGUUUCCUGAUACGUUGGGAAACGCCGAAAAAAAGACCUGCAUUGGAUCAGUGCAGGCAACGGAUGGCCUCAGGGCGCCGUCAACAUAUCCCUUCCUGUAAUGUUUUGGGCUAGUAGCUCAGUUGGUUAGAGCACACGCUUGAUAAGCGUGGGGUCGGAGGUUCAAGUCCUCCCUGGCCCACCACGACUGUGGUGGUUUCGAGCCUUGAGAGAGUGAAGUUCAUUGAUAACUAUCGAUGAUGCUUUGCUGAUCUUGACUGGGGGCGUAGCUCACCUGGGAGAGCACCUGCUUUGCAAGCAGGGGGUCGUCGGUUCGAUCCCGUCCGCCUCCACCAGAAACCACACCAAAGAAUGCUGCUUGGCGAGAGCUUUGAGCGGCAUGAUGGUGCGAUAACAUUACAGGUUAAGGGAAAAAUGUUUCCUCCCUGCCGCACUUUGGUGCGGGAGCGAUGAAAAAGUCUGUUCUUUGUCAGUGUGAAUAGGUUGGUGCACUUUCUGGGUGCUGCCACGAUCCGGGUUGGUCUGACCCAUGUGGAUCGGUUCUUGGGUUUCUGGACUUUGGUCCGGGAAGCUCUGAUCCGGUCUCGUGUUAAGGAUUGUGGCGUAUAGCGGUCAGAGAGUGUUUUAUAAGUAUGAUGAACUUUGCGUGCGAUGCAUUGCAUUUUCUCUGCGCAGGAAACUCUGAAGCGCGCGAGCGUGGAUGGUUGCUGUGCAUGUGUAGUGUGUGAGCAUGAGAAGGGCAUUCGGUGGAUGCCUUGGCAUC
rnacentral:tRNA from 1 species